UACGGAGGGUGCAAGCGUUAUCCGGAUUUACUGGGUUUAAAGGGUGCGUAGGCGGGCCCUUAAGUCAGUGGUGAAAGCUCCGAGCUUAACUCGGAAACUGCCAUUGAUACUAUAGGUCUUGAAUUCGGUUGAGGUUGGCGGAAUGUGUCGUGUAGCGGUGAAAUGCUUAGAUAUGACACAGAACACCGAUUGCGAAGGCAGCUAGCUAGACCGACAUUGACGCUGAGGCACGAAAGCGUGGGGAUCAAACAGG
rnacentral:rRNA from 1 species